UAGGGAAUCUUCCACAAUGGGCGUAAAGAGCGCGUAGGCGGGAGAGUAAGUCAGAUGUGAAAUCCUGUAGCUUAACUACAGAACUGCAUUUGAAACUACUUUUCUAGAGUAUGGGAGAGGUAGGUGGAAUUCUUGGUGUAGGGGUAAAAUCCGUAGAGAUCAAGAGGAAUACUCAUUGCGAAGGCGACCUGCUGGAACAUUACUGACGCUGAUGCGCGAAAGCGUGGGGAGCAAACAGG
rnacentral:rRNA from 1 species